rnacentral:rRNA from 1 species
UACGAAGGGGGCUAGCGUUGCUCGGAAUCACUGGGCGUAAAGCGCACGUAGGCGGCUUCUUAAGUCAGGGGUGAAAUCCUGGAGCUCAACUCCAGAACUGCCUUUGAUACUGGGAGGCUCGAGUCCGGAAGAGGUGAGUGGAACUGCGAGUGUAGAGGUGAAAUCGUAGAUAUUCGCAAGAACACCAGUGGCGAAGGCGGCUCACUGGUCCGGUACUGACGCUGAGGUGCGAAAGCGUGGGGAGCAAACAGGG